UGGAUGGAUGGAUUUAAACAUAGCUAGAUUUAGCAUUUUGCAAAUACUUAGCAAAYGUAAGAACAGUGAGCUAAAUGUGUUAGUGACGUAAACCCCAGUUUAUCCGUGUUUUCUCAAUAGAACAAAGUUGAAGUCACAAAUGCAUGUGUGUCAUUGUUGCAUGUGUGUCAUUGUUGCUGCUAAUUGCUAACUGCUAAUUCAGUCUUGUUUAACUGAAAGGGUUUAGUUACAAAACAGUGUAGCUAAUGAAGCCGGGUUUUUUUCACUUCUGUGUUUAAGAGAGUUGAUUUUAUAAGCUUAAAAAAUAAAAAGCUUAGCCUGGAUGAUAACUUUUUCCUCUUUCGCACCAUCAUCCUCUAUAGCUAAUAACUUGACAAAAUAUCACUUUAAAAUGACCAGACUAUCACUUUAACACAUCUACAUGUGUUUUUUUCCCCUAUAAGACUUCUCCAGCUCAGAAACAAAGUAGGGAUGGGGGGUACAGGCCUGGAUGAAGGGCACCACAGUGGGGGUUUCUCUUCCCCUGCUCUCAUUUAUCCUGCCUGGCCAACAAUUGACCGAUCAACCUUUCAGUCCAAAGUUCACCGCUCUGACCUUUAGCCCGGCCCGUUUCCGUUGCUGAAUGCAUAUGUAAUCCUGCCAGUUGGAAACUAAGGAGAAACAGAGAAAGCAACAUUUGGCCUCGAGCUCCCAGCGGCGCGACCAAUCCGCCUUCCUCCAACAGAGAUCUGACGCCGGCGUUCCAGCCGAGCGGCUUUCCUCUCGUUGCAACAUCGCUGCACAGCGUCCCGCCGUCCUGAUGGACUCUCCACCUCUCAGGCUGAAAAUGAAAACAGUUUUUCUCCUUUUGUCUGGAGUCAAACACUUUUGGGGAUUCAUUCGGAGAAAUYGACUCACCUUUCUUCCUUUUUCCUCCCAGUUGGGGAGAUAUGAGUGASUGGACUGGUUACGGACAAAUUACCCCUUCGGGAACAUGUUUGUGGAACGAGAMCACCCGAGAACUGGAGGGACACGUGACAGCAUGUGCUUCAAACAGUGGAAUAAUAAUGACUUAAUAGAAAUUGGCAGUGGUUUUGGGCUCCUGAAGGUUCUCGUCCAGUUCCUGCAGCGUCAGAAUCAUUCCUGCAAUUUUCUAAAAGCAAAAUAAAAAGUUUGUUUCUUAACCUGGUU